rnacentral:rRNA from 1 species
GACGAACGCUGGCGGCGUGCCUAAUACAUGCAAGUCGAGCGGAGUUCAUCGGGAGCUUGCUUCGGAUGAACUUAGCGGCGGACGGGUGAGUAACACGUAGGCAACCUGCCCGUAAGACUGGGAUAACUACCGGAAACGGUAGCUAAUACCGGAUACGCAAGUUUCUCGCAUGAGGGGCUUGGGAAAGGCGGAGCAAUCUGUCACUUACGGAUGGGCCUGCGGCGCAUUAGCUAGUAGGUAGGGUAACGGCCUACCUAGGCGACGAUGCGUAGCCGACCUGAGAGGGUGAACGGCCACACUGGGACUGAGACACGGCCCAG